rnacentral:lncRNA from 1 species
AGGCUGGAUCUGAACUUUUGAAGACCAGCUGGUACAGCAUGACAUCAAUGAGUUUGGAGUGUCCAGCUCCUUCCUGCGUGCUGCGUUCUCUUUCCAGCUCCAUUAGCCUUCCAAUGCUGUUGAACAAGUCACAGCUUCAGUGGGAGAACUAAAUAUGAAGUCUGAAUCACAGCCUUCUGGUCUGGGCACUUCCCAGGGUGAUGGAAAAAGCAAAGAAGGAUCCUGCNNNNNNNNNNNNGACUUUUUUUCAAGUCUCCAGAAAAGGUGGCACAGUCAUCAAGGAAGUAUCUUCGUUUCUUAGUGUCUUCUGCUUUUGCUCUGUGGCCGUACCUUCAUUUCAAAGUGCACUUAUAAAGCGAUAUCUGAAACGUCAGUGA